UUUAAAGAGAAAACAGCUAGUGCAUAGCUUCACAAUAUAGAUAGUGAGGAAUUAAUGGGUAUGUUUCCUAAUACAACAAUUUGCUAUAUCCCUUGCAAACUAAGAUCAAAAAAGAAUAAGACUGUUGACUAUCUAGACACUCCAGAUUUAAGUUUAAGAGAAAAGAUUGUUAAAUGGUCAAAUAAUGUAGCACGUAAAAACAGAUUUACAUAUUGACUGAAUUGAUGCAAAGCAAGAGAUGAGAUUUGCUAAAGACAAAAAAUCAAGUGGCAAAGUUAAUAAAAGAAAAAAUGACUUCAUUUACACCAUUUCUUACUGGAAAGAUGAUGAAACUGAUAUUGAAGCUGCUGACUAUUGCAUGAAAAAGAUUCAGCAUGCUGCUGAUGUUGUUUCUGGGGAGUUACAAUUUAAUGAAUUUAAAAACACAAGUGUUGUGACUUGCCUAAAAUAUAAAGCAAGUGUUGUGAUUUACAUAAAUAAUACAGCUUGUGUUGUGACUUGCCUAAAAUAUAUAGCAAGUGUUGUGACUUGCAUAAAUAAUACAACAAGUGUUGUGACUUGCCAAAGAUGUAUUUCAAGUGUUGUGACUUGCAUAAAUAAUACAGCUAGUAUUGUGACCUGCCUAAAUUAUAUAGCAAGUGUUGUAAUUUGUUAAAUUUUUUGAUAGAGGACUCUGGCUUACCUUCGUGUGGUGUCGAUUGUUGAAAAUAAUUAAAAUAUAGUUUCAUUACUGGAAUUAAUCAUAUUAAUCAUUCACUAAAAGCCAAGACAAAAAUAUAUUAAAUUAUUUUUAAAAUAAUUAAAAUUUUUUUUUUUAAUGUUAACAUUUUAUUUAUUAUUUAUUUUGAAACAGAAAUUUGUUUGUUAACCAAACAGAAUGGCUAGCUCGUUAACCAUACUGUAUGGUCCUUACUUCUGUUAAUGGAAUAAUCACAUGAAAGAUUUUAAUAUAGGAUGUUGCUAUACUUGGUUAUAAAGAUGACAUGUUUUUUACAGCCAAUUGACUUAUAAUUAUAGCUCCACAAUAGUAGUUGUAUAAUUUUUAAAGCAAUAUAUAUCCAAUUGGUUUGGUUAGAGGCAUUCUAAUGCCCCUUCCCUUAUGAUAUAUUUGGAUAGGCCCUCCCUUAUACUCCACUCUCUUAUGACCAUGGAUGCACCACUAAUGUAUAUUUUAAUCUAGUGGAAUAUGUUUUUUACUUCUUUGUUUUUGUACUUUAAAUAUUCAAUCAGAUCUUUCAAGAAUUAAAAAUGUUUUUGAUAUUAUAGUACUAAAACAUCAACAUAUCUAUUAUGAGUUUUACAUUUAUCUCUCAUAUUUGGUGGUUGCCUGGUUGGGGGGGGUCAUACGCCCCUCCCAUAAUAGAAACACCACUUGUAUACGUAAGAUCUUGUAUAACAUAAUUUUAUAUUGUAUACUAAUUUUACUCAUUUUAGUAAAGAUAAAUAUUUAUAAAA